rnacentral:rRNA from 1 species
AGUGAACGCUGGCGGUAGGCCUAACACAUGCAAGUCGAACGGCAGCACAGUAAGAGCUUGCUCUUACGGGUGGCGAGUGGCGGACGGGUGAGGAAUACAUCGGAAUCUACUUUUUCGUGGGGGAUAACGUAGGGAAACUUACGCUAAUACCGCAUACGACCUACGGGUGAAAGCAGGGGAUCUUCGGACCUUGCGCGAUUGAAUGAGCCGAUGUCGGAUUAGCUAGUUGGCGGGGUAAAGGCCCACCAAGGCGACGAUCCGUAGCUGGUCUGAGAGGAUGAUCAGCCACACUGGAGCUGAGACACGGUCCAGACUCCUACGGGAGGCAGCAGUGGGGAAUAUUGGACAAUGGGCGCAAGCCUGAUCCAGCCAUACCGCGUGGGUGAAGAAGGCCUUCGGGUUGUAAAGCCCUUUUGUUGGGAAAGAAAAGCAGCAGGUUAAUACCACGCUGUUCUGACGGUACCCAAAGAAUAAGCACCGGCUAACUUCGU